UACGUAGGGGGCUAGCGUUGUCCGGAAUCAUUGGGCGUAAAGAGCGUGUAGGCGGUCCGGUAAGUCCGCUGUGAAAGUCGGGGGCUCAACCCUCGAAUGCCGGUGGAUACUGUCGGGCUAGAGUGCGGAAGAGGCGAGUGGAAUUCCUGGUGUAGCGGUGAAAUGCGCAGAUAUCAGGAGGAACACCUAUUGCGAAGGCGGGUCUCUGGGCCGAUACUGACGCUGAGGAGCGAAAGCGUGGGGAGCGAACAGG
rnacentral:rRNA from 1 species